GCUCAAAUAGUCUAGGUGGUUAGGGCACCACGUUGUGGUUACACAUCAGAACCGUGGAAACCCCAGUUCGAGUCUGGGUUUGGGCA
rnacentral:tRNA from 1 species